rnacentral:rRNA from 1 species
GAUCAACGCUAGCGGCGUGCCUAAUGCAUGCAAGUCGAACGAUGUAGCAAUACAUAGUGGCGGACGGGUGCAUAACACGUGGGUAUCUGCCUUUAGGUACGGAAUAACUCAGGGAAACUUGAGCUAAUACCGUAUAAUAUCUCUGGAUCAAAGAUUUAUCGCCUAAAGAUGAGCCCGCGGCAGAUUAGCUAGUUGGUGGGGUAAUGGCCUACCAAGGCGACGAUCUGUAGCUGGUCUUAGAGGAUGAUCAGCCACACUGGGACUGAGACACGGCCCAGACUCCUACGGGAGGCAGCAGUGGGGAAUAUUGGACAAUGGGGGCAACCCUGAUCCAGCUAUGCCGCGUGAGUGAUGAAGGCCUUAGGGUUGUAAAGCUCUUUUAGAUGGGAAGAUAAUGACGGUACCAUCAGAAAAAGCCCCGGCUAACUUCGUGCCAGCAGCCGCCGUAA